UACGGGGGGGGCAAGCGUUGUUCGGAAUUACUGGGCGUAAAGGGCUCGUAGGCGGCCAACUAAGUCAGACGUGAAAUCCCUCGGCUCAACCGGGGAACUGCGUCUGAUACUGGGUGGCUUGAAUUCGGGAGAGGAAUGCGGAAUUCCAGGUGUAGCGGUGAAAUGCAUAGAUAUCUGGAGGAACACCGGUGGCGAAGGCGGCAUUCUGGACCGACAUUGACGCUGAGGCGCGAAAGCCAGGGGAGCAAACGGG
rnacentral:rRNA from 1 species